rnacentral:misc_RNA from 1 species
GAGUUUGCAAGAUGCCUAACUAUGAUGAAAUUAAUGAAGCAAUGAUGCUUAAAGUGAAAAAUGAAGACAAAGAAGUAAUGAAAAGGUGAAAAGUGAGCCCACAAUGCUCUUAAAUUCUAAGUAUGAAUCAUUUUGUCAACUUAAAAGUGAGUCUCAAAUGCAAUAAUAAUGUGGUGUAAGAGUCCAAUUUUCAAAUUAUUAAUUGAAAGAAAAAUAAAUAGAG